UUGAAAUGUUUCGUAUUGUCUUUUUUCUUUUUCAUAUGUGCCAAGUAAAAAACCGGCUUAACGGUGAGUACCAUGUUCUCUCUUCACGUACAAUUCAAUUCUAUUUUCAGUCAUUUGCCUUCUUUGAUUCUUUUAUUUUUUAUUUUUGAUGUUGAGUAUGGGAUAAUAAGCAACGGAUCGGCGAGAACGUAUGAAUAUCUUACUAACGUAAAGACAAUGCGAGAUAUUGGUGCGGUUCAAUCAGAAAUCCACACUCUUUUGUUGUAGAGAUCGGUUUGUUUGAUUGAGCCGUGCCAAUAUCACGAGUGUAAUUGGCCUCCACCAUGCUAGCUGGUGUUUAUCAAGGUUCUGGAGUUCGGAUAACACAAGAAUGAGCGUAAUCCUUGAAUAUAGACAUCGAUAUACCUAAUCUGCAAGGCCGCAAAUACUAUGAAACUCAAAUAAAAAUGUUAUUAAGAGGAAUUCUUUUCCUUUUUUCUUAUAUUGAAUAUUUUUACUCUAUUAUUAUAGUGACGACUCAUUAAACAAAGAUGUCCGACUAAUGAGAUUGCGUUAUUUGUA